GGUAUUCGGAUCGGGUAUUUCGGG
rnacentral:siRNA from 1 species